rnacentral:sRNA from 1 species
GAGAGGCGCGUAAACUUAAUCAUGGGAAAGAUGAUCCGUGUCACAAUCAUCUUUGACCUUGACACUAAAUGAAUGAGGUUUUCUAGGUUUGCUGAAACAAAGCGAUCACAAGAUAACAAUAUUGCACUGAGGAGUCCCAGAUCUAGCUCUGGUAGUGUGUUUGUGUGUCAGGCAAGUCAUCACGACUCCUGGGGUCUGCUGUACCGCUGCCUGGGUAACCAUUACUGGCAUCACCCCCCACCCGGUGAAAUCUACACAUACCGGCUGGUGGCCGGGGAUUUAGAGGUCUGUCUGGCAGGUGAAUCCGUGAUCAGGGUCACCUGGAAAAGGAGGAAACAAACAUUCUGAUAUGCUGUUGUUAAUUGGUAAGAAGACAAAAUUUGUGUAUUCCUUAUAAAAAAAUGUCUGACACUGCUCAUAGGUAGUUAUAACAGGGAUUGGCCAAGAGGAUUAGAAUUACCUUAUUGAAAACUCCUCUCCCAAAGUAGUCUGCCACCACUGAGAAGCCAUCUUGAGAUCUUUGUAACUGUAACAAAAAAAAAAAUCAAGAUAUACCAGAGGCAAUAACUGUAUGAUCUAUCAGUACUGAAAUGGAUUAUUUGAUGAUAGUCUUAGAAUUACAACUAGUGCAGGUGCUUGAUGCUGGUCUUACAUCAGAGUUAUGUGACAGGGUGUUGGAGAUAACAUGGAGCAUACACUGAUGGAUCCUGUUACCUGAUUAUGGAACUGUUCGUGAAGAUCUCGGCUUUGUUCCUGGGCUCGAAUGAUAUCCAUGAUUUUCCUGGAAAUAAACAUAGCUGUCAUGUGUAGUGUAUUAGUGGAACCAACUGUCGCGGUGGAUGAGUCACUCCACUUAGACACCCCCAAACUCUUGACAAACACAAAACCCCCCAGAAUAUAACGAGUUUGGCACUGUAUGGUUUGUACUUGUACAGAAGUUAAUCAGCACAAUCUGCUUUAUGUCUAAUAUUUGGGUGGCUUACCGAUUACCAAUGAAAACAAAGGUCUGUGUCAGAUACUUUGUACAUUUUGAUAUAGAAUUUCAAUCUCAGUACACUUUUCUACAG